AUAAUACUAAAGUUGGUGGGAUGGUUACUGUUACUAAGCCGAGUAACAGUACGGCUCAAGCCGAGCCGAUUAUUGAAAUUACGUUUUUGCCCUCUCUUAUUUUCAAAUUACAGUAUUGUCAUUCGUAAAAUCACAUCAUCAGCCGCAGUCUAUCUUUUCCUUUCUAUUAGUUUUCAAAAAAAAAAAAAAAAAAAAUCCUUUCCUUUCUGUCGGUCUUCUCCCUCUGUACUUUUCGCGAAGGCACCGGAGGAGAUGUUGAUGUUGCAUGAUGAAGACUUGAAAGGAUUACUAAUUCAAAGAACACAGGUCUGCAAUUCAGCUAUUAGAUUUCAAUUGAUGGGCAAUUGUAGUUUCCGUUUAAAAUUUGAUUUGGGUAUUGCUUAGCUUCAUCUGGGAUUGCUCGGUAUUUGCAUCUGGAAGCCUCUAUCAGAUAGAGACUAUCUACACUUCUACCUUUAUCAAUUAUCAAGAACGAUCGAGAGAGAGAGAGAUAAGAAAUCGGUUGUGUUUCUUUGCUUUACACGAAGAGAUAGAGAGAGAGAUCGGAGGCAAGUUCUCACCUCAUCAUCUGAGAUCCGAGGUUAGUUGCUCUUCUUCAAGUUUCAACCUUUAUAACUUUGGAUCGUUCGUCGUAUUGUUUGUUUAGAACACCCCGCGAUUGGGAUCACUUUGUUUUGAGCACUAAAACUGAAUCUGUGAGUGGUUUAUGUGAUUAUGGGGAUAUAUAUCUUCUUUAGUCCCUACUUUCGAAUCUGUGUAAUCAUCUAUUGACCGUAAAGAUCCAAUCAUGGUAUCCACCGAAUUCUUGGAAUAGAGGGUGGAUACAUAGGGUUUUUGCCAGAAGUACAAUUCCCUUAACACCAAAGAUUGUGAAUGACAUCCAUAAACGUGGUGACACCAACCUUGGGACAUCACGAGGUAGCCAUGAUACCUCAAAGAUUGCGGACAACAUUCAGAACAGAGGAAUUAAUCAGUGCUGCCAUUUUGCCCAAAUAACAAUGCAAUUCCAAUGGGAAAACCUGUUCUUCAGAAGGAUUUCAAUGGCUACAUUUGUUUUCCCAUACUCUUGAUAUAGAAUGCUGUAUAUCAACAAUGGAAACUUGGAGCAUUGACUUCAUGCAGUCUUGCUUAUUUACACAAGGCCAUUCAACCAAAGGUGAUCUUCUUGGCCACUAAGCACUUUGUAAAGGAAUGGAAAUUUUCUGGUGGUGUAGAAAGAACUAUUAGUAACAUUGGUUUGCCAAAUCAAGUUUGACUGAUAAGGAAAUUGAAGUCAAGAGUGAGUUGCCUCCAAGUGAGAUGGUGGUAAUGCCACUAGAUGCAACUAUUAGACAGCUUAAACAAGAAGCUGAGAGUGUCCUCAGAGAUGCAUAUUAUGACAGAAGAGUUUGUGGUGAUGGAAAUCAAAGGCCUGGAUGAAUCGGAUGAUAUACAGGUACUUUCUGGACCAGUUCAAUCGAGGACAGUUUGUUUCUCUUCACACAAAUACUAUUCCGAUUAAUGUAAUAUACGGUAUUUUAUCAGUUGAAUCAAGAAUAAAGUCAUUUUCAAUUAUAUUUUUCAUUGUUGUACAUUAUUACCAAUAACAAAUCCCGCGGCAAAGCG